UACGUAGGGUGCGAGCGUUAAUCGGAAUUACUGGGCGUAAAGUGUGCGCAGGCGGCCGCGCAAGUCGAGUGUGAAAGCCCCGGGCUUAACUUGGGAAUUGCGCUCGAAACUACUUGGCUGGAGUGUGGCAGAGGAAGGUGGAAUUCCAGGUGUAGCGGAGAAAUGCGUAGAGAUCUGGAGGAACACCGAUGGCGAAGGCAGCCUUCUGGGCCAACACUGACGCUCAUGCACGAAAGCGUGGGGAGCAAACAGG
rnacentral:rRNA from 1 species